UACGGAGGGUGCGAGCGUUAAUCGGAAUUACUGGGCGUAAAGCGUGCGCAGGCGGCUUUGCAAGACAGAUGUGAAAUCCCCGGGCUUAACCUGGGAACUGCAUUUGUGACUGCAUGGCUGGAGUGCGGCAGAGGGGGAUGGAAUUCCGCGUGUAGCAGUGAAAUGCGUAGAUAUCUGGAGGAACACCGGUGGCGAAGGCGGCAUCCUGGACCAAUUCUGACGCUGAGGAGCGAAAGCCAGGGGAGCAAACGGG
rnacentral:rRNA from 1 species